CGUUGGAUACCUCCACCGAUUCACACCCAGAAAAUCAAUGUAGAUGGUGUUGUGGCCCGCCAUGGACGUGGAGGAGCAGUAGCUGCGAUUUGUCGAGACCACUCUGGAGCUUACUUGGGGUCGUCGGCGGUGGUGUUUCGAGGAAUAAAUGAUGCGGUGAUCCUGGAAUCUUAUGCAUGUAGGGAGGGGCUUGCACUUGCAGAGGACCUGGAUAUUCAGCAACUACUGAUAGCAUCAGAUUGCCAGAAUGUAGUCAAGGACAUAAAUUAG
rnacentral:rRNA from 1 species